AUUGAACGCUGGCGGCAUGCUUUACACAUGCAAGUCGAACGGUAACAGGCCUUCGGGUGCUGACGAGUGGCGAACGGGUGAGUAAUGCAUCGGAACGUGCCCAGAGGUGGGGGAUAACGCAGCGAAAGCUGUGCUAAUACCGCAUGUGAUCUGAGGAUGAAAGCGGGGGACCAAGCAGCAAUGUUUGGCCUCGCGCCUCUGGAGCGGCCGAUGUCAGAUUAGGUAGUUGGGGGGGUAAAGGCCUACUAAGCCGACGAUCUGUAGCUGGUCUGAGAGGACGACCAGCCACACUGGGACUGAGACACGGCCCAGACUCCUACGGGAGGCAGCAGUGGGGAAUUUUGGACAAUGGGCGCAAGCCUGAUCCAGCAAUGCCGCGUGCGGGAAGAAGGCCUUCGGGUUGUAAACCGCUUUUGUACGGAACGAAAAGGCUCUGGCUAAUACCUGGGGCUGAUGACGGUACCGUAAGAAUAAGCACCGGCUAACUACGUG
rnacentral:rRNA from 1 species